GACCUUCCGCUGUUGUUUUUUCUAUGGUUGGGUUGUUGUCUCUUUGAUACAUUCCCCAUUUCCUUUCUCAAUUUUAUUUUAAAAUAUUUUUUAAUCAAAUUAUUACACAAUUAAAUUUGAAAUAGUACAUAAGCAUGCAGCAUGCACAUUUUUGAUUUAUAAUUGAAAUGGUUUUGUAUAUCAAGGAAUUUCUAUUAUUACUAAUAGUGCAGUUUUAAAUUUGCAUCUAUACAUUACAAAUGGUUAAGUAUACAAUAAAGAAUUGUCUAACGUAUAUGUUUCAUUGUAUUACAUUAUAAUACUAAUAUACAAAUAUAAUAAAUGCACUGACAAUCACUUAUUUUGUAAAUUUAUACACAGGCACAUGUUGCAGAAAAAAACAACCUAUAUAACAUGAAAAUAUGUUAAUAACCUCCCCUUCAUGAGACAAAAUUCAAUGACAAUCUGUCUAUGAAAUAUUGUCUCAAUAAUCACUAAAUAUAACCUCCCUUUAACAGGACAAAAUUUCAUAGUAUUCAUCUGUGAAAUAUUGUCUCAAUACACACAAAUAUAACCUCCCUUAUAUAUUGUCAUACAAUAUUUCAUAGGACAAUAUUUUGCUUUACAUAUGUGUGUUAUCAUGGUUAUAGUCUAACUUAUAGAUAUCAUGUAUGGCUUUUUUACCGAAAUAAUACCUAUCAAGUAGUUACUUUAAAAAAGAUAAUGGUAACUUGUAGGCAAAUCACUUGAAAGAAAAUUGUAAUUGAAGAAUAUUAAGAUAAUAAUAGUUGAUGAUUUUGUUUUAAAAAAAAAGAGAGAUAUCACUGGUGUUCAACUUAUCAUGGCUGAUGUAGAAAUAAGUAAAAUUGUUUUGUGUUAAUUUCUCUGUGUAAACAUGUUGUUGUCGAGUAUGAGUCUGCUGCUCAGUUGAUCUGUUGAUUGAGACAGCGAAUAUAUCUUAAUACAUGUAUUGCUUAAAGUUUGAUAGUGGUACCAAAAUUGUGAAUACAUGCAUGGUUAUAUUAAACUUAUUUACUUUUUGCUUUGUGGAUAUAUUAUUCUAUAUAUUUUACAAAAGUUUGAAUUAAUUAAGGGUAAAUAUUGAUUGGUAUAUAGCAAACUUAAAGAAGAAGAACAUGUACAUGUAUUCAUUAACUUAAAUGAUUUUAAAGUUUUAUCAGAUAAAAAAUCAAUUAAUCAAUAACUGUUUAUUAAUUCUUUUUCUUAGUGAUUAUUUAGAUCAAAACCUAUUCCCUAAUAUGCUACAAAUGUCAAUUGCUAAAAUGUUCAAACUAUCUUCUGUGUUUUUCUGGACAACUUGAUAUAUUAUAUUUCUUAAUAAUAAACACAAUUUGGUUUUGACCUGCAUCUCAUUUUAGAAAAUAACUAUUUCCCAUUUUAUGUAAUGGCUUGAUGGACAGACGUAUAUAAAAAAGCUGUUAUUAAAAUAACUUGCCAAUAUUUUAUGCUCAACUUACCAAUCACAAUUUUCACAAUAAUAAUUAAAAAAGAAAUAAACAUCACAAUUUUUUUUAUUGAUAUGUAAAGUCCUAUGCAUACCAGAGCUAUAGUUAUUUUGUUUUAAAUGUGAACUGUAGAAGGUCAUUAUUUGUAUUGAUAUGCCAGGAAUUCAACAUUGUCAUUGUUUAUUUCCCUUUUUCAUAGUUAUGCCGUGGAACAUGCUUUUUCCCCAAUCUGUCAAAAUCAUAUUAAAAAUGUCUACUUUUUUCAGAUGAAUCAUUGCUGGGUCCUUGAAAACCUUACUGGAACUUCUUCUGAUACUGGAAAUUGAAAACAACUGCUCAUUUUGGAAGAAAAUUAACAGAGGAAAGAUACAGAUAUGCAAGAAUUUAAUAUUUCAAUUGCACUUAAUAUUUCUUUUGUAUAUGGCACCUAUUUUUGACUGUCAAAUAAUGGUAUUGUUGUUAUCUUUGCCAUAUUAACAAAUAUACCUGAUCAAAUUUGUUCAUUAGUAGAAACUUAGAUUUCAAAUAUCUAUUCACAUAAGGUGAUUUUUUUCACAAUUUUUUCUUAUUUUAAAAAUAAAACUAUUUUGAUUUGUCUGAAGUUCAUUUCAUAAAAAUUUCAAAUUCUAAAUGAGACCUGAUUUAGCGCAUACUCCAUCACAAAUUGAGAUAACGUUAGUAUUGUUUUUGGAGUAUCCAUUAUUCUAAUACGGCCAACGUAUUGACAGGUCUUCAUAUAAGUGUGUCCAGCAUAUCAUUGAUUCAAGAACAGUAAAUAGUGAAAAUUAACAUAAAUAUUUAAAAAAAAUUAUUUUGGUUUAACAUUAUUAUUUUUCACAGUUGUGCAUCAUAAUUUUUUCAAAUGUCUUCUUAUAACAGGAUUUUAACAAAAACUUAUACAGAUGUAUUAAGAUAGUUCAAAAUGAUUGACAAAUUUUUAAACUUGUAUUAGGAAGUCAUAAAAAAUUGAUAAAUAAUAUAGGCCUUAUAUGUAUUCCAUAGGACAGAUUUCAUUUUUGUCCAUAUUUGUAUAAAUGUUGCACCUUUAUUUUUAUCUUUUUGUAGAUUUGUAUGUGGCUCCACUCAUCACCUAUUGACUUGUUGGUUAUAUUUAUAUAUAUAUGAAUAUUUAGCAAAUAAUGGUGGAAAUCUGAUUUUUUUUUAGAAUACAGUCAUGAAUUUUGCGAAAUAAUGCAAAAAUUAAUGUUUUAACCAAAUCCACCUACAUUUAUGAUGUCGCAAAUACAUCAAAUACAGAAAAACUUUUUUGAAAUGAUGGUUGUAAAAUAUUUUGAUGUAUGUCUUCAUAACAAUAUCACAUGUAUAAAAUGUUCUCCUUUUUAGGUCGCCAUUCCAAAGGAACAUUGAGCUUUUGCCAUCACAUGACGUCAAUCGUCUGUGGUGUAAACUUUUUCAAACAUCUUCAACUCUGAAACUAAUGAACUAAUUCCAAGCAAACUAAGCUAAAUGAUCCUUAGGGUAUCUAAAAUCAAGUAUGGGUAUAUUUUCUGUUUUUGUGGAAAAAAAACAUAGCCGCUAUGGCUAAAAAAAGAACAUAGGGGUGAAAUGCAGUUUUUGGCUUAAAUCUCAAACCCUUUAAGCAUAUAUAACAAAUCUGAUGUGACAUAAAAAUGUUGAUUGCUGGAAGGUCAAAUUCUUUCAGCCAUAACAUUUCCAAAUGAAUCUAACAACCCACUUGCUGCCACUAAUUUGGUAAUUUUAAGUAAAUUUGCAAUUUUUUAUUAUAAUCUUGAAUAUUAUUAAAGUGAUAAAGAUAAACUGUACAUAGAAAAAAAUUCAGCAAAAUUAAGAUCUACAAAUUAAAGUAUAUAUAAGACCAAAAUUGUCAAUUCAUGCCCUUUAAAGAAAUUUUCACAAUUUCAUGAAUUUAUUCAUCUUAAUUAAGUUUACUUUACUUUUCUUCGAAACGAUUUUCAAUUUCAGCUAAAAUUUGGCUGGAUGAGUUUCAGAGUAUCAAUUAGAAAUUAUGUAUCUUAUUUAUUACCUUGUAGAUCAAGAAACAUAGCCACUAUGGCUAAAAUGUGUUUUAAAUUCUGUAUGUUAUCUGUGAGGGCUAUUCCAUUACAAUUUAUGUGGGAGGGAAGGAAGGGAAGUUUGGUUAUUGAAUGUGUGUCAUUAGUCUUUUUUUAGUAAGCCUCUAUUACCCUUAUGUAAAAUUAUCUAAAAAAAUGUUCUUGGUUGUAGGGAUAUGUGAAAGUCAGCCCUUACAAACUUCAUUGCUGAUUAGCAUAGAUGCAACAAGAACAUUAACUGAUGAAUGAUUUAUUAAUUAUUUGUGACUAAAAAUGAAAUAAAAUUUGUGUCAAAAAAUGUUA